rnacentral:lncRNA from 1 species
AUGAAGUUGAAGGACCCUAGAGAGGAAGAAGCUAAGGCGGAGGAACAAUCUGGAAAAAAGAAAAAUAUGAAGUUGAAGGACCCUGGAGAAGAAGAAGCUGAGGUGGAGGAAGAACAAUCACAAGGGAUAAUGGAUGAUGAUGUUCACUAAGUUUGUAAGCCUCCUCUUUUGAUUUUUUAGAGGUGGAGGAAGUUGAAAGUCACAUGCGGAU